rnacentral:rRNA from 1 species
UACAGAGGGUGCGAGCGUUGUUCGGAAUUACUGGGCGUAAAGCGCGUGUAGGCGGCGACGCAAGUCGGAUGUGAAAGCCCAUGGCUCAACCAUGGAAGUGCACCCGAAACUGCGUCGCUAGAGUCUCGGAGAGGAAGGUGGAAUGCUUGGUGUAGAGGUGAAAUUCGUAGAUAUCAAGCGGAACACCGGUGGCGAAGGCGGCCUUCUGGACGAGUACUGACGCUGAGACGCGAAAGCGUGGGUAGCAAACAGG